rnacentral:lncRNA from 1 species
AGGCGAUGAGCUUCCAGAGGAAAUGAAGAAGGAGUAGUCAGACAGAGAGGAGGAGAAGGACCAAGGAAGAGCAAUAUUACCAAAACCCAGAUGAGAAAGGUGGUCACCUAGGCACAUUGGCUCCUCACUCUGAUAGGUCAGCAUCUCUGGGCCAGGCACUCCUUGGAGGAAAAGUCAACAAGCCUUACAAAGCCUACAAAGCCAAGACCCUCCACCAUCUUGGUCUCAUCCCAGCCUUUGGCACCUCUCUGAGUGAUAAGUUGCAGACCAAUAUCUGGACUUGGCCUGGUAGAGGGAGUUUCCUCCCCUGCAAGUUCCUGAUUCCAAAGAAAUCACAGAUGCCUUCCAUAUUGCUGUAGUCCAGAACAUGGGCGAAAUUGGAACGAGGAUGUUUUGGGGGAAAAGUCCUGGGAGUUGAGGAGAUUCCCUUUUGGUGGAAGGUGAGCUUGAAAUUAUAACAGAAGGAAGAGAGGGUACAGAACACUUCAGGCUUGCCAGGGCAGCACCCAGAGAUGGGAGAUGGAGUAGAGAAAGAGAAAUCAGGAAUGGACUCUGCCUUCAGGAUGUUUACACUCUUUUGAGGAGCCAAAGUCUACAGAAACAAGAAUGAACUAGGGAGGUGGGAGCUCAGUACAAGAGAGAACAUGGUAAGUGCCAAACAAGUGGUACCAAAGAGAAAGGGUUCUAGGUCAGUGGUGGAGGUCAGGGAGGUCUUCCCGGAGGAGGUACCCUUGUAGCAUUGAGGGUUGGAUAGAACUGGGGCAGGCAGGCAGGCAGACAGGUAGGCAGGUUUUCCAAGUUGAGGGGAACUGAGUGGUCAGGAGCAGAUCAAUUUGGCUGAAGCAGAAAGAGGGUCCCUGUAGGGGAAUAGCUAUAAAUGUCUGGGAUGUUUUUUCCAUCAUCAGCCCAGUAUGUGGUUUUCUAAGUUUUUCUUAGAACCUAAAACUCGGGGGCAACAGGGUGGCUCAGUGGAUUUAGAGUCAAGCCUAGACAGGAGGUCCUAGGAUCAAAUUUAAACUCUUCAAAUCAUUUCCUACCUGUGUGACCCUGGGCAAGUCACUUGACCCCUAUUCCCUAGCCCUUACUGCUCUUCUGCCUUGGAAACAAUGCAUAGUAUUCAUCCUAAGACAGAAGGGAAGCAUUUUAAGGAAAGAAAGGAAAAAAAAACACCCUAAAACUCCUGCUAGAUCCAGGAUUGUAAAAAAUCUUUUUUUCUUAAUUUCUCUUGUUGAUGUCUAGGCUCUGGCAGGAGCCCCUUCAUUUUUCCUUACUCCUGCUCUGGUGUCCUACUUUUCCACUGGCCUCAAUUAAUCAACCAAUAACAAGC